CAAUGGUGAACAGUCAGUGUGCACGGACUGCCCGACAGCCAGCAGCCAGGAAGGGGACUCGACCCCGGGAGCUCCAGGGAAGGCGCGUGUCCGCGGCGGUGUGUGGACCGGAGCACCGACAUGUUUUACUGAGCAUACACCGAUAUAUAUAAUACAGCAACGCUGUGGGCAAUUUCAUUUCCUUGGACCGUUUUUUGCACCAUAGUAAGAUUGGACAAUGGGACUCUGAGUGGAGGCUUCAGCACUCCCAUGAUUCAUCCCACCCCGGCCCACUAGAAUGUACUUGAUGAAUGUGCCUCCAUUUGCAGCAACUCAUACAGAAUGGAGGACCUGUGGCCCACCCCCAGACUUUAGCCUCCACGGCUUACACAGCUCUGACAGUGAGUUGUCGACCGGAGACGCCAACAUCCAGGAUAAGGUCCAGAUGAUCAUUAAAAGCUUGAGGAGCACCCAGUCCUCCAUUGACAUGGGUGACGAGAUCGUAGGAAACGUGCCGCAAGGACAGGAAGUGCACCUCGAGGCCUGCAAGUUUGGAAUGGGCCCUUUGGUAGGAGCCAAAUCAUCAACAGGUUCUGGUACUGAAUCCCGACAAACGCAAUCAGUGUUUCCAGUCAAAUCCGAGAGCCAGGAUUCGGACAGUGAUGACAGUGUGGACCGAGGGAUUGAGGAAGCUAUAUUGGAGUACCUAAAGGAAAAGGACGGACAUAAACGCAAUGAAGAACCGUCAUCCAACAUCCUUCUCCCUUCAAAAGUCCAUCGGAAAAGCCCUCCUGUCCCUGAGAUUUGUAAACAACAUUCCGACAGCAAUAUAGUCUUAAGUGCCAACCACCAGUUUUCAAAAAUCACUGAAGUUGAAACCCCCAUGGCACCAGUUCAGAGUUCAGUGACAAAAAAUAAUUCCCUUCCCUUCAAAGACAUCCCCGUUAAGAAAAUGGAAAAAAGUAUGACAACCAAAAGUGUGCUAUCCAAAGAACCCAAAAAAGUAAUGGAAAACAACUUGGAUAAAAAAGCAAAAGACCCGGUCCCAGUCAAAACAGAGAAGGAUUCACUGGACUCAAGUAGUGAUGAUGGGAUUGAGGAGGCCAUCCAAAAGUACCAGUUGGAGAAAAAAGAUAAGGAGAUUGGAAGCAAGGAAGCCUGCAACUCCUUUACAUCACAAGACCUUACUGACUCCAGUAGCAGUGAUGAUGGGAUUGAAGAGGCCAUUCGCAGCUACCAACGCGAGCAAUUAAAAGAAAAGAAUGUGCCCAAACCACUUUUGCUCAAGCAAAGGCCUAGUAUAAAGUCACCAUUGCAGUCUCUCUGUAGUUCAAACACAGAAAAAAUAAACAAACUUAAAUCCAAAAAGAAAAGUAAAAAUAAGAAUCUGCAAUCUGGCCCCCCUCUGUCAUCUGUUCUCCUACCCAAAAGCUCACUAUUUGGCAGCUCGAACAGUAAUGGGAAUGGGACACUUCUGUUAAAAGAAGAACCCUUUAAGAUUCACUCCCCAACCACUACAAAGACCACACCCGCAGAGCUCAUGUGUGCUGAGGCAAUUUUAGAUAUUUCAAAGGCUGUAAUGCCUGCAGCGUUCACUGCUACUGUCAGCAUUGACGGCUUCAAUACAAAUGAGACAUUAUCGGGCCCUUCUACAACCGCGGGUGGAAGUAGUGACAGUUCCAUAGACAGUGAAGACGGAAUUGAACAAGAAAUCUGUAUGUUCCUUGAGCAGAAGGCCCAAAUGCAGAAACAGCCUCAGACUACUGCCACGCUCUCCUCACUGCCAGCCAGCUUGAAUGAGCCGGAUAUGGCGAAGGGAAAACCAGAAUCAAUCCAGAAAAAGGUUCUGAGACUGUCACUUACUCAGAGAAGAAAACUGAAAUCGCAAGACUGCAAGAAGCCAGUAACAAGCCCCAAAAGGAUGAAUGAGCUUGCUUUGAAAGACGGGGAAGGAUCAAGUUCCCUCGUAUCUUACCAGAUGGAGCUGUCGCCAUCUUCUGUUGAAUUCGACAAGACUGAGAGGGGAGGAGACAAGAGCAGCUCUCUAGAUAGUGACGAGGACCUGGACACGGCGAUAAAAGACUUGCUCAAGACUAAGAAGAAGUUGAAAAGAAAGACGAGAGAUAUGAAGCUGAAAUCAAGGAAGUGCCUCAAGGAUCCUGAGCCCUGUGACGGCAUUCCAACAAAAAAGCAAAAACUCAACCCUGUUUCUAAGAGGGUGGUUUUGAAGAAAGCUCCCAUCAAAAACAGGGAUAUGAGCGAGAAGACUAAAGUGAGUAGGAAGAGCCCAUCACAACAGAAGCAAACUAUCAAAAGAAUAGAUGAUGGCGGAGCAGGAGAAACAGACCAAUUAAAAGGGACAGGAAGUGGAAAUGUUUUGUCGCUUUAUACUAGUGAGAGUGCUGUUCAAGGAAGUGAAGACAACAGCUCAGUAGACAGCGAUGACAGCAUUGAACAGGAGAUCCGGAAAUUCCUGGCUGAAAAGGCCAAGGUCAUCCCCACAGAGACUAGAAACAAGGACGAGGAUCGGCCGAUCUAUGGCAGCAUCAGUAAGCAGUUAACAGAAAAAGCGACUAAAUUGGAAAGUCAGCUGGCUGAAAUUCCAACACCAGAGAACACUCGCCUACCUGACGUUCAAAGCAAGUUGUGUGAGGACGGACUGUCUUCGAUGACUCCUUUGACGAUUGGAACUACAUGUCACCCGUCUCUCCUGUCCCGUAGUCCUUCUCUUUUGCAGCACACAGAUGGAGUGGUGAAGCGAGAGGAGCUGAGGCCUUCCAUUGGGAGUGGUCAUGCCAGUUCUAAUUCUCAUUUGGAAAAGGCAAGAGCUCGGCCGGCUACUAGUCCCAGCGUCGUUCAGCCUUUCUCUGACGCUAUGAAGUGGCGUCAAAGCCUGGGACUCCCCAUCAAGAACACCAGGCCUGUGUUUGCCAUUCAGCCUUCUUCCCAUAUCACUUCCUCCAGUAUGAACGAGACGGCGGCAGCAGCAGCAGCAGCAGCAGCAGCAACACCUUUUCACAGGGCAAGGAUAAACCCCAAACCACACACACCUGUCACUCUAUGGACAUCCGCAAGAAACAGCCAACCGGUCUCGCCUAUUCGCCACUACCCAGAGACACCUGUAAACCCAAUGUCUAGUUCUGUGCCUAACCCUUUCUUUGCCACAAAACAUAGCCUGGGGAGGUCUCCUAUGAUGGGACUCUCAUCCGGGAAGCAGAGUCAGGCAGAGAGGGAGAGUCGCUUGGCCCCUCCUAGCGAACAGGACCAGGGUGCGUUCACCAGGCUAGACCCCACACGUAGAAGCGGCCAGGUCUGGGUCCAGGCCAGUCCCAUGAGCGAAGGGAGAGCAGAAAAGCUGACCAGCAGGGGCAAUGAAGGAAGGGAGGAGUUUGAGUCCGCUGAGAAGGCAGUGCAGUCAGUAAAGAUGGAGGUUGAAGAUUUUGUAGACGAGACAGAUUGUGAGCUAGAGGAGAGGCGUGAAACAGAGAAGACCCGGGGAGUUUCUUCGAUGUCUCUGGCCAGGGCAAUUGAUCCUGGCGUUCCUCUCAAGCCUUACAUAGCCCUGACCACAGGGGAGAGGAGCAACAUGUUUCCCAGAAGAUACAGGAAGGGGCUUCGCUCAAAGAACAAGACCUUGGAGCAUGUCAAAAGAAAGCUUACGUUCAUCCGUUCGAGUGUGUAGAGAGGUGCACACCACGUUAGUAUACAAGCCUUGAAAUUAAUGCAAAUUAUUCAAGGUUAGGUUUUAAAAAAAAAUUAAAGGUUAACAGUUUGUUUAGGUAGUUCGGAACUCGGAUUUCAUAAAAUGUUACGUUUUAUUUCAGUGAAGACAGAGCAGAACUCGGGUUUCAUUCAAUGUUAUGUUAUUUUUUCAGUGAAGACACUUUUUUUACUUUCAAUUUUUUGUUAUACAUAUUCUAAAUGAUAUUGAUGCAGCUUUAUGACUACACAGUGUUAGGACCAUGGUUACCUCCAACAAAUGAUUUGUUAUUUUGUUUGAGCUCUCAGAAAUGUAGAGAGCAAGCGGAGGAAUAAAUGUAGACACAAUGCAUUUGCCCAUAUUGAAUAUGCGUUCUUACACUUGUUCAAACGAUUACCAUGUUUUUGUCACAAACAAAAUCCCCUUUAUACACGUUCUCAGCGGACAUCCUUCGAGUUAGCUUGUGUCAGUGGCUGAUAGUGUAUUACUUAAUAAAGUUGUUACGUUUGUUCUUGAAUGCUCGAUUAUAUGGGAAGUGUAGUCUUUGUUUAAUAGGUUUAAUAGGUAAUGAGUGUAGUCCAUUUUCAACGGUGAUGUCACAAAGAAGCGUCGCGUGUACCGGCGCACAGGCUUUACGUCAUUUCGGGGACCUCGCGGACCAAUGGCAGCAAGAAGAUUGGGUCAGAUUUCCUGCCCAAUUUUACCCAAUCUGGCAACACAGACAUUGGGAACGCUGUGACCUUCUGUGGGUGGGAACAUCAGCAAGCAUGGCCGCCCGAGUUUUAACGAAAGGUAUGAUAUGUAAUUUUAUUGAAGGUAUUUGGGCUUUAUGUAAUCCUCGAUUUGUACCAGUCGGGUGCUCCAGCCAUGGGCAUCUCUCUGUCGCUGCAGCACAAAUAAAGUCGCCUCAGAUCCAAGCGGACAUUAACGCGACAG